rnacentral:rRNA from 1 species
AGAGUUUGAUCCUGGCUCAGAGCGAACGCUGGCGGCAGGCCUAACACAUGCAAGUCGAACGGGCCCUUCGGGGUCAGUGGCAGACGGGUGAGUAACGCGUGGGAACGUGCCCAUCGGUUCGGAAUAACCCAGGGAAACUUGGGCUAAUACCGGAUACGUCCUUUUUGGAGAAAGAUUUAUCGCCGAUGGAUCGGCCCGCGUCUGAUUAGCUAGUUGGUGGGGUAAUGGCCCACCAAGGCGACGAUCAGUAGCUGGUCUGAGAGGAUGAUCAGCCACACUGGGACUGAGACACGGCCCAGACUCCUACGGGAGGCAGCAGUGGGGAAUAUUGGACAAUGGGCGCAAGCCUGAUCCAGCCAUGCCGCGUGAGUGAUGAAGGCCCUAGGGUUGUAAAGCUCUUUCACCCACGACGAUAAUGACGGUAGUGGGAGAAGAAGCCCCGGCUAACUUCGUGCCAGCAGCCGCGGUAAUACGAAGGGGGCUAGCGUUGCUCGGAAUCACUGGGCGUAAAGGGCGCGUAGGCGGACCUUUAAGUCAGGGGUGAAAGCCUGUGGCUCAACCACAGAAUUGCCUUUUGAUACUGAGGGUCUCGAGACCGGAAGAGGUUGGUGGAACUGCGAGUGUAGAGGUGAAAUUCGUAGAUAUUCGCAAGAACACCAGUGGCGAAGGCGGCCAACUGGUCCGGUUCUGACGCUGAGGCGCGAAAGCGUGGGGAGCAAACAGGAUUAGAUACCCUAGUAGUCC